GUAUCCUACGGGAGGCAGCAGUGGGGGAUAUUGCACAAUGGGGGAAACCCUGAUGCAGCAACGCCGCGUGAGUGAAGAAGGUCUUCGGAUUGUAAAGGUCUGUUCUUGGUGAAGAUAAUGACGGUACCUGACUAAGAAGCCCCGGCUAACUACGUGCCAGCAGCCGCGGUAAUACGUAGGGGGCAAGCGUUAUCCGGAUUUACUGGGUGUAAAGGGUGCGUAGGUGGCAGGGCAAGUCAGAUGUGAAAGCCCGGGGCUCAACCCCGGUACUGCAUUUGAAACUGUCCAGCUGGAGUGCAGGAGAG
rnacentral:rRNA from 1 species